rnacentral:rRNA from 1 species
UACGUAGGGCGCAAGCGUUGUCCGGAAUUAUUGGGCGUAAAGAGCUCGUAGGUGGCGUGUCGCGUCUGCCGUGAAAGCCCAUGGCUUAACUGUGGGUCUGCGGUGGAUACGGGCAGGCUGGAGGCUGGUAGGGGCAAGCGGAAUUCCUGGUGUAGCGGUGAAAUGCGCAGAUAUCAGGAGGAACACCGGUGGCGAAGGCGGCUUGCUGGGCCAGUUCUGACGCUGAGGAGCGAAAGCAUGGGGAGCGAACAGG